AUUGAACGCUGGCGGAAUGCUUUACACAUGCAAGUCGAACGGCAGCACGGACUUCGGUCUGGUGGCGAGUGGCGAACGGGUGAGUAAUGUAUCGGAACGUGCCCAGUCGUGGGGGAUAACGUAGUGAAAAUUACGCUAAUACCGCAUACGAUCUAUGGAUGAAAGCGGGGGAUCGCAAGACCUCGCGCGAUUGGCGCGGCCGAUAUCAGAUUAGGUAGUUGGUGGGGUAAAGGCCCACCAAGCCAACGAUCUGUAGCUGGUCUGAGAGGACGACCAGCGACACUGGAACUGGGACCCGGUCCAGACUCCUACGGGGGGCAGCAGUGGGGAAUUUUGGACAAGGGGCGAAAGCCUGAUCCAGCCAUUCCGCGUGGAGGAUGAAGGCCCUCGGGUUGUAAACUGCUUUUGUACAGAACGAAAAGGUUUCUACUAAUACUAGGGGCUCAUGACGGUACUGUAAGAAUAAGCACCGGCUAACUACGUGCCAUCCGCCGCCGUAA
rnacentral:rRNA from 1 species